CAUGCAGCGGAUAUAUGGCACCCGAAUUUUUUGGAUGAAAAAUAACAUUCAAGUCAGACAUAUACAGUUUGGGUGUUAUAAUCAUAGAGAUACUAACAGGCCGAUUUGUUCAGUGUUCGCAGGAAGCCGUGGUCGCGUUCCAAGGAGGAGGUUGAUGAGCAGCUGAGGAUACUUGGCUUUCACCAGCAGCACGACUCCGAGGACGCCGAACCCUCCGACGGGUACACUGUCACGUAUCCUGGUGCGUCCUCCAGCUUGUACCAAGGACAGGAUCCUCCUUCAUCAUAUUACGGAGGUGCCACCUCAUGGGCACCGUGGGAUUGAUCUCCACUUAGGCCAAAAGCCUAAGUUUGGGGGGAGGUAUGCCGGCAUCACUCAUUCAUUGCAUACUACAAUUGCCGGUCAUUUGUAUAUACUUGUUUCGCUUCUUUUGGUUGUUUCUCUUUCGGUUAUUUUUAUUUCAGUAGGUUCUUAUUUUAGUUUUUGAAGGUUGUUACUACUGUAGUAACCUUUACCUUUACAUUUUUAUUUCAUUUGUGUGCCGAUAGUUGCCUCUAAUAUGAGGAAGAUGAUAUUUGGGGAAGUGUUGUCUAAAAAACAGAUUCUGGACUGAUACUAAAAAAAUUCCUAAAAAUAGCCAGAAAGUUAUUUUGAGCAGCCAAUUUUUGUACAUGUUCCCCAGGUUAUCAUCUAACUUUCAUUAGUUGAGCACUUUUCGAGUUGAACAGCAGAAGAUUUUCGAAAAAAAUGAUUACUGUACUGCUGUCAAGUUUGACGGAUUUCUGCCACCUUGUGUUUGUGUGACUCUUUUAGUUUUCAUUCUCUUGUUUUUGUUUUGUUUCUUUCCUAAAACACAAAAAGACCAAAAAUAUUUUUGUUGUUUCUCUUUACCAUUUGUUUAUUUGGUUUCUUGUUCCUAUUUUGCUAUAUUUACUAUCGUUGGUUUGCUAUGAGAAAAUCUAAAAAGAUUAUACUUUCGCUCUUAUUUCCAAUUCUAAAACACCAAAAAUAUUUGUUGUUCUUCUUCGGUUUUGUAAAGUUUAUUAUGGAGUUCAGGGGUCUCCGGUGGUUGGAGCUUGGUUUUCAUUUCAUAUUAUUCAAGCCACAUAAGUGAAAGGCAAUAAUGAUGAUCUACGACAACUCGACUGUGGUGAGAGGCUGGUAUGAACUAUAUUUGUUUUCAUUUUUGUACAUAUACUCAUCCAUGUGAGCAUGCUUAGUUGGUUCAUGUGAGAUAUAUGUCAUUUAAUGAAAGUCUAGUAGUUCAUGAUCUCUCAUGUUUAGCUUCAAUUAUUAAUAAUGAGUAGCAUGCCAUAAAUAUUUGCUUGCAUUUUUUUAUUCAUAGAUAGGUUUGACAGUGUGGUAUCCUCCUCUGGAUAAUUCAUUUGAAUUGACUUGGCACAUGCUCACGCAUGCAUAUGACUGAAAAACAAAAGUCAAUUAAGCCUCAAUGAUUUACUUUGCUUCAGAGUUUUUGUAUCACUUUUAUGUCUCCGUUAAUUUUAUUUUGUCGCAAGCAUGAUUAUGACAGUUAUUGCUCUCUUGAUUGUCGCUUCCCAGUCUAUUGCUAGCCUUCACUUGUACUGAGCGGGAAUGCUGUUCGUGCUUCCAAAUCCCUGAAAACCAAGUUAUUCCAAAGUUUCCACCAUAAAUACCUAUGCAUGGCAUUUCAAACCAUUCCAAGUAAAUUUUCAUGUGCUACCUUUAAAACCUUCAAAGUACUUCUCAAUUUGUGUCAAUGUUUUAUACCUCAUGAGGAAGUAUGUGGUGUUUCAUCUUUCAAUCUUGUCAUUUACUUCUGACAGACUUUCACCAAUGGACUAGUGGCAUAUCCGUUUAUCCAAUAAUUUUUUAAAAAGAGAUGGCAACGGGGUGCCCAGCCCCAAUUAAUUAACUUUCAUUAAUAAUUCUCUUCACAUGUUUUGCCCUGAUUUAUUAGUAAGCAACUUAAUUUGCAAAUAGACACUCCUCCAUGGUAUGUGAAUGUUGGAAGGCCACCGAGGAUUCAAAUGAAUUAUCCAGAGGAGCAUGUGAAUGUUGGAAGGCCACCGAGGAUUCAAAUGACAUUGUGGUAUCCUCCUCUGGAUAAUUCAUUUGAAUUGACUUGACACUCCCCCCAACCUUGUGAAAGCAAAGGUUGGGGGGAGUGCCAUCCAUAAUGAAACUAAAAUACAUGUAUAAACUAAAGAGAAGAGGGAUGAUCUACCUUGUUGGUAGAGAUAACGUCCUUCAUGGGAGGCGCUCUUGAAAGUCUGGUUGAAAAGGUAGUUAGAGUGCCCGCUGCCAUUCGUUGACAACAACAAACACCUCUCAAAACAAUUCUACUUCUGUUUAAAAAAUGAAAAGCUCUAGCACAUGUUAAUCCCUGCUUCCCUCUGCGAAGGGUCAAUCUUUUACUUUUAUGUUGAGUCAUCAUCCUUUCUUUGAGCACUUUCUUGAGAGCAUAAUUGUCAUUCUUAGUGUAAUAUGUUUGUCCCAGAAUAUGGUUAACUGUGAUAUAACUUUGAUGCUUCUAUCUUUGAUAAUCUUUACUUCUAGUCUUUCCAUGAAAUUCAGAGGUGCCUGGGCAUUUAUGUUUUGCUGUACAAAUACGGGCAAGCAAGAUACCACUUUUAUCAUAUCUUUUUAUGAACAUUGCAAUCCUGCUGAAAGAUAUGUUUCAUAAUGCUUAUUAUUAGUUUGUUGGUAUCUUUUUCAUGAUUGAUAUAACUAUUAGAUGACUUUACUUGCAUUUAUCUUAUUAUGAAUUGCCUAAGUACUCGUCCAUAUAAUGAGAAUAUUUACAUCAUAUGAGCAAAUGUGUUCGUGAAAGUUCUUUUAUCGCACUCAGUUGUUAACUGAAUUGCUUAAGGACAAGCAAUAAGCUAAGCUUGGGGGAGUUGAUACGUCCAAAACGUAUCUACUUUCCCGGACACUUUUGCUAUUGUUUUGCCUCUAAUUUGUGUAUUUUGGAUACAACUAACACGGAUUAACGUUAUUUUCAGCAGAAUUGCCCUGGUGUCUUAUUUUUGUGCAGAAAAUCAACUUUCAGGAAAAUCCCCGGAAAUAAUUGCAAUGGGCCUAUUUUCACAGAAGACCUACGGAGCAAGAAGACGAGACGGAGGGGGGCCACGAGGGGCGCACACCACAUGGCGGCGCGGUGGGCCCCUGGGCCGCGCUGCCCUAUGGUGACGCCGCCUCGGCCAGCCCCCGACGCUCCCCUCUGGACUACUUAAAGCCCUUGAUCUAAAAACGCACGAGGGUUUCGACCAAUUUUCCAGAAGACAUCCAGAACUCCGCCGCCGUCGCGAAACCCAAUCUCGGGAUCAGAAACUCCGUUCUGGCACUCUGCCGGAACGGGGAAUUGGAGGAGAUCAUCGCCAUCAUCGCCACCGACGCCUCUCCAUCAACCAUCCAUGCUUCCCCCAUCCAUGUGUGAGUAAAUCCCUCACUGUAGGCUGAAGGGGAUGGUAGGGAUUGGAUGAGAUUGUUCAUGUAAUAGCCAUAAGAUUGUUAGGGCAUGGUGCCCAGUAUCCGUUGUUGGUACUUUUAUGAUAUUGUUGCAACUUGUUAUGCUUAAUGCUUGUCACUAGGGCCCGAGUGACAUGAUUUCAUAUCUGAACAUGUUAUUGAUUCAUGAUGAUAUUCAUUGUUUUAUGAUCUUA